AACCUUUCCCCUCCGGCCUCUACCAGUGCUGCUGCGCCCUGCGGAGCUCCGAACACGUGCGCAGAGGCCAGCUGUGGCAGAUGCAACUGCAGGAUGACUUGAAAGUAGGGCAUCCUUCACCCAUUUGAAGAGAGGAAAUAGUGGCAGGUGACAGUCUGCAUGUGUGGUUUUCAGAUACCUUCACCUGAAUAUCAUCUACCUCCAUCAUGACCCCAGAUGUCUGACAGCCCUGUGUGACACCAAGAUAAGUAAUAGUUGUCUGCUGGUUCUCAGCUUGAAGAAGAUUCUGCAGUCCUUAUUGAUCCUUUUUCUUGGCGUUACCAUUUUUUUGAAGCAAAGUUAACCUAGCUUUCUAGUUUGAGCUUUCUUUUUGGCCGUCUUUAAAAAAAAUUUUUUUUAAAUCUAUAAAAUAGACAAGAGCUAGUUCCACAAUGUCCAAGUCAUUCCAGCAGUCAUCUCUCGGUAGGGACUCACAGGGUCAUGGGCGUGACCUGUCUGCAGCAGGAAUAGGCCUUCUUGCUGCUGCUACCCAGUCUUUAAGUAUGCCAGCAUCUCUUGGAAGGAUGAACCAGGGUACUGCACGCCUUGCUAGUUUAAUGAAUCUUGGAAUGAGUUCUUCAUUGAAUCAACAAGGAGCUCAUAGUGCACUGUCUUCUGCUAGUACUUCUUCCCAUAAUUUGCAGUCUAUAUUUAACAUUGGAAGUAGAGGUCCACUCCCUUUAUCUUCUCAACACCGUGGAGAUGCAGACCAGGCCAGUAACAUUUUGGCCAGCUUUGUCUGCUAGAGACUUAGAUGAACUGAGUCGUUAUCCAGAGGACAAGAUUACUCCUGAGAAUUUGCCCCAAAUCCUUCUACAGCUUAAAAGGAGGAGAACUGAAGAAGGCCCUACCUUGAGUUAUGGUAGAGAUGGCAGAUCUGCUACACGGGAGCCACCAUACAGAGUACCUAGGGAUGAUUGGGAAGAAAAAAGGCACUUUAGAAGAGAUAGUUUUGAUGAUCGUGGUCCUAGUCUCAACCCAGUGCUUGAUUAUGACCAUGGAAGUCGUUCUCAAGAAUCUGGUUAUUAUGACAGAAUGGAUUAUGAAGAUGACAGAUUAAGAGAUGGAGAAAGGUGUAGGGAUGAUUCUUUUUUUGGUGAGACCUCGCAUAACUAUCAUAAAUUUGACAGUGAGUAUGAGAGAAUGGGACGUGGUCCUGGCCCCUUACAAGAGAGAUCUCUCUUUGAGAAAAAGAGAGGCCCUCCUCCAAGUAGCAAUAUUGAAGACUUCCAUGGACUCUUACCGAAGGGUUAUCCCCAUCUGUGCUCUAUAUGUGAUUUGCCAGUUCAUUCUAAUAAGGAGUGGAGUCAACGUAUCAAUGGAGCAAGUCACAGUCGUCGAUGCCAGCUUCUUCUUGAAAUCUACCCAGAAUGGAAUCCUGACAAUGAUACAGGACACACAAUGGGUGAUCCAUUCAUGUUGCAGCAGUCUACAAAUCCAGCACCAGGAAUUCUGGGACCUCCACCUCCCUCGUUUCAUCUUGGGGGACCAGCAGUUGGACCAAGAGGAAAUCUGGGUGCUGGAAAUGGAAACCUGCAAGGACCUAGACACAUGCAAAAAGGCAGAGUGGAAACUAGCAGAGUUGUUCACAUCAUGGAUUUUCAACGAGGGAAAAACUUGAGAUACCAGCUAUUACAGCUGGUGGAACCAUUUGGAGUCAUUUCAAAUCAUCUGAUUCUAAAUAAAAUUAAUGAGGCAUUUAUUGAAAUGGCAACCACAGAGGAUGCUCAGGCUGCCGUGGAUUAUUACACAACCACACCAGCGUUAGUAUUUGGCAAGCCAGUGAGAGUUCAUUUAUCCCAGAAGUAUAAAAGAAUAAAGAAACCUGAAGGAAAGCCAGAUCAGAAGUUUGAUCAAAAACAAGAGCUUGGACGUGUGAUACAUCUCAGCAAUUUGCCCCAUUCUGGCUAUUCUGAUAGUGCUGUUCUCAAGCUUGCUGAGUCUUAUGGGAAAAUAAAGAAUUACGUAUUGAUGAGGAUGAAAAGUCAGGCUUUUAUUGAGAUGGAGACAAGAGAAGAUGCAAUGGCAAUGGUUGACCAUUGUUUGAAAAAAGCCCUUUGGUUUCAGGGGAGAUGUGUGAAGGUUGACCUGUCUGAGAAAUAUAAAAAACUGGUACUGAGGAUUCCAAACAGAGGCAUUGAUUUACUGAAAAAAGAUAAAUCCCGAAAAAGAUCUUACUCUCCAGACGGCAAAGAAUCUCCAAGUGAUAAGAAAUCCAAAACUGAUGGUUCCCAGAAGACUGAAAGUUCAACCGAAGGUAAAGAACAAGAAGAGAAGUCCGGUGAAGAUGGUGAGAAAGACACAAAGGAUGACCAGACAGAGCAGGAACCUAAUAUGCUUCUUGAAUCUAAAGGUGAGCUACUUGUAGAUGAAGAAGAAGCAGCAGCCCUGCUAGAAAGUGGCAGUUCAGUGGGAGACGAGACUGAUCUUGCUAAUUUAGGUGAUGUGGCUUCUGAUGGGAAAAAGGAACCUUCAGAUAAAGCUGUGAAAAAAGAUGCAAGUGCUUCAGCAGCAGCAAAGAAAAAGCUUAAAAAGGUGGACAAGAUCGAGGAACUUGAUCAAGAAAACGAAGCAGCGUUGGAAAAUGGAAUUAAAAAUGAGGAAAACACAGAACCAGGUGCUGAAUCUGCUGAGAACGCUGAUGAUCCCAACAAGGAUACAAGUGAAAACGCAGAUGGUCAAAGUGAUGAGAACAAGGAGGACUAUACAAUCCCAGAUGAGUAUAGAAUUGGACCAUAUCAGCCCAAUGUUCCUGUUGGUAUAGACUAUGUGAUACCUAAAACAGGGUUUUACUGUAAGCUGUGUUCCCUCUUUUAUACAAAUGAAGAAGUUGCAAAGAAUACUCAUUGCAGCAGCCUUCCUCAUUAUCAGAAAUUAAAGAAAUUUCUGAAUAAAUUGGCAGAAGAACACAGACAGAAGAAGGAAACUUAAGAUGUGCAAGAAGAUUUAAUGAUUUCAAAGAAAAUAAUGGUUCUUCGUUUUUAAUGUUAACCUUUUUUAAAUACAAUACUGAUAGUUAGAAGAAAACUAUUGUACUCUUUUGUUUUAGUGGAGAAAUAAUAGAUGUCUGUUCAUGUGUUAAGUGUUAUAGCAAAAAAAAAUACACAUAUGGUUAAGUUAAUGAAUAGUUUUUGUUUUAUCAAAAUGGCAAUGGACAGAAGUACUUUGUAGAGAUUGACUUCCUAAGCUACUUAAGACAACUUGCACCACUAAGAAAGAAAUGUAGAACCAUUUGGAAAAAUGAAAUUUAGUAGUUCCAAGUUUCAAAGAAAUGUCAACAUUUUAUUCCAUUCAAUAAAGAACAAAACCAAUAGUAUUUUUAUUACUUUCAUCUGAAACAUUCCAUGUUUUAAUCUGAGCCUUGCAGACUUUGAUUUGGAGUUUGAACCUCUUUUGGUUGCAUUUCAUUUUUGGAGAACUUCAUUAACGUGAGAUUGGCGAUUCAAAUGCAGGUGCAGUUUUCUGUUAAUGUCAUGCUGUUGUUUAGGUAAUAAGAAAUAUUAAGUAAUUGGCUUUAGAUUUUGUAAUUUUUUCCCUGUGUUCCUGCUAGAUUUCGUAUUCUAGUAGUCAAUGUAUUUUCAGUGAAAUGUAAAAAUAUUCCCGUUCUCUUUGACCAGUAUUAAUUUUUGAGAUCUUACUGCUUGUCACUUGAAUCCCAUAAUUGUCAUACAUCUCUGGUAUAAGCAACAUUUGAUUUUUGAAGUGUGUAGACCAUCUCUUCAUAUUUUCAAGAUGUAAUUUUACAUUUCUGCAUUUUUAAAACAGUUUGGCCAUAAUCCUAGAUGCACGCUUCUAAUUCAUGUACCUGCACAUGUGACCUCUGUGAACAGAAAUUUGCAUGUAUAAUUUGUGUUUACUUGUAACUUUCUGGUUAUAUACUGCUUAUAUCUGUGGAUUCAAGUUACUGAAGUGAAUACCAAUAAAAAGAAAACCCUAGGCCAUGUUCAUUGGUUAUACAUGUUUGGAAUGUUAACCAAAAAAAAAAAAAAAAAAA